UGAAUGCACUAACUGUAAGUCGCUCUGGAUAAGAGCAUCUGCUAAGUGACUCAAA
rfam:Salmo salar isolate Sally breed double haploid chromosome ssa16, whole genome shotgun sequence.